CCGUCGAUANUCUCAGAUGGUAGAGCGGAGGACUGUAGAGUUGCAGCAAUCCUUAUUUCGCUGGUUCGAAUCCGGCUCGACGUA
rfam:Angiostrongylus costaricensis strain Costa Rica genome assembly, scaffold: ACOC_scaffold0002324